GAUUGAUAGUUACACUGAUAAAAAUUAGGGUUUUAGAGUGGUUGUGCGAAAUCAGUUUGGGGGUUAUUCAGUCAUUGGCUAUUAUUCACUAUCAGGCAAGUCUUCUUCUUCGUUAUCAAUCUUCAACGGGUCCUAAGCGUGCGAGGUCUCGUACCCUUGAGUCAUCAUCGGCUAGCAGUCAAAGCGGGGACAAUGUUGAUUUUUUAAAGUUCAUCAACUUGGAUGCUCAAAUAGAAUAUUAUCACAUUGUGGGUAAGUCGUUUAUUCGUGAGAGAGGAUUCAAACCCGACGCACAGGAUGAACAGUUAGUGCAAACGAUUCGAGAAAGGUGUUGGCAUGGUGUGUGCUCUACCCCAGUGGCUACACCUAUGGUUGUUGUGCGGGAGUUCUAUGCUAAUGCGAGGGAAACGAUGAAUGGGUUCUCUUUUGUUCAUGGAAUUCAAGUGGACUAUAGGCCGAGAGCUAUUCGUAAAGUGUUCAAUUUACCCGACCCUCCGGCUAGAUGAACAAGUUAGGUGGAGGCUGAACGUUUGGAGACAGAUUUGGAUGUCG
rnacentral:lncRNA from 1 species